rnacentral:snRNA from 1 species
AUGCUCACGUUAGCAGCACACAAACUAAAACUGGAUUGAUACAGGGAAGAUUAGCACGGUCCCUGCACAAGGAUGACAGCAAAUUUGUGAAGCCGUCAUAGUUUUG